ensembl:lncRNA
AGAGAGAGAGAGAGAGAGAGAGAGAGAGAGAGAGAGAGAGAGAGAGAGAGAGAGAGAGAGGGAGCAAGAGGGAGCUGCGAUAUAAUGGGGAGAAAAUGCGUCGUGUUUUUUUGGAGGGAAUGAACUCAGUCCGAGAGAUUGUGUUGAGAACUUCCAAAAACAGAGUUGGCACCAUUGAAUACAGGGCACACACAUCGUGUUGUUUAGAUUUGAAUAUGGAUACACACAUACACACACACCACACCUUCAGAGAUGCCUAAUGUGUGUUGUGUGUGUGUGUGUGUGUGUGUGUGUGUGUGUGUAGGUUUGUGUGUUUUAUGUAAGUGUAUGUGUGUUUUUUUAGGUGUGUGUGUGUAGGUGUGUGUGUUUCGUGUAUGUGUAUGGGUGUUUUUGUAGGUGUGCAUGUGUGUUUCUGUAGGUGUGUGUGUGUGUUUCUGUAGGUGCGUGUGUGUGUUUCUGUAGGUGCGUGUGUGUGUUUCUGUAGUUGCGUGUGUAUUAACAAGUCCAGGGAGAGCGGAGCUCAUCGCUGCGAAGACAGCGCCAUGGAAACGACAGGGCAACUUAAUUAAUAUGUAGAAUGUAUCGAUCGCGUCGCC